rnacentral:rRNA from 1 species
UACGAAGGGGGCUAGCGUUGUUCGGAAUUACUGGGCGUAAAGCGCGCGCAGGCGGUCUUCCAAGUCAGUGGUGAAAGCCCGGAGCUCAACUCCGGAACUGCCAUUGAAACUGUUAGACUUGAGGAUGAGAGAGGUGAGUGGAAUUCCCAGUGUAGAGGUGAAAUUCGUAGAUAUUGGGAAGAACACCAGUGGCGAAGGCGGCUAUCUGGACCGGUACUGACGCUGAGGCGCGAAAGCGUGGGGAGCAAACAGG